UGCAGGCUACGCUUGUAAAAAGCCAGCAAAAGUUACGGUAGAUGAUUUCGUGUACUCAGGCCUAGGCAUUGCCGGCAACACCACAAAUAUCAUCAAAGCUGCAGUCACCCCUGCAUUUGCUGCUCAAUUUCCUGGUGUGAAUGGCCUCGGCAUUUCACUUGCGCGCCUAGACCUGGAUGCGGGUGGAGUUAUCCCAUUCCACACACACCCUGGGGCUUCUGAAGUCCUACUUGUUGCGCAAGGAACAAUAAUUGCUGGGUUUGUUUCCUCAGCUAACACGGUUUAUCUGAAAACUCUUAAGAAGGGUGACAUUAUGGUGUUCCCUCAAGGCCUAUUGCACUUCCAAGUGAAUGGAGAUAAAACUCCAUCCCUUGCAUAUGUUAGCUUCAGUAGUCCAAGCCCCGGUCUGCAGAUUCUGGACUUUGCACUGUUCCAAAACGACUUACCUACUGAAUUGAUAGCGCAGACUACUUUCCUCGAUGUUGCUCAGAUAAAGAAGCUUAAGGGUGUUCUUGGUGGUACUAAUUAGAUUGUCUCCUUUCCAUCCUCCGUCUUCGGGGGGUUAUUCCAUGUCUUUUUGUUUUCUUGUUGUGAUUGAGAAUAAUGGAGUGCUCUAUUUUUGUAUGCUUGUAGAAGUAUUAUUCUAUGCUUCCGUCUGACCAAUGUAGCAACAAUUGUGUUGAAGGCAAUGCAUCCUCUGAUCGAUAUUUGUUCUUUUUAUAUAAUUUCCAUUUUAUUGAGGUAACCUGCUUAAUUUUUCAAUCAAGAAAUAAGAACACUAGUGUACCUUAUCCGCUGCAAAUUGCACGAGUAUCGCAAUGCUUCUGAUUUUGGAUAACUCAUAUAUUUAACUCCACCUUCAUCUCAUGAUCGACUUCUUUCAAUGAAAGUUUCCGGGAUUCGCACCUACCAUAAACUCCCACCCAGUCGUGAACUUCCUUUACCUUUAAGGAGAGGAAGGAGAGUUCUCAUUACACAGGAUGGAUUCGUUCCCUAUUCCUACGGCUUAGAAGCCUCAAGCUCCACCCCUUUACUCUCUCUACCUCCUUAAUUAGCGUUUCACACUAAGCUCUUUGAUCUUUGAGGCUACCUUAUUGUGCUUAGGGUUAAGGUUAAGAAAGGUAGUAUACUAUAUAUGAUUAUUUGGAUCGGGCGAGAAGCCCUCUAACAUAUGUAAAUAUCAAACAUAUUAUGAAAUUAUGAAUGAUGGCAGCGUUGUUGAAAAUUCACAAUAUAAAAAAAAGUAGCAAGGAACCUCAAACAUGAGGCACAUGAAUUUGUAGUGCAGGAAGUUCAUCGAGUGCCCAAAGGCAAUGCCGAAAACCCUGCUAAAAACCAGGUCAUUAUCCAUAUUGUCUGAUAUUAUUGUUGUUUUUAAUCCAUAGUUUAUUGUAGAUUGGUUCAUGUUCAUGCAGAAGCGAUGUUGAUGCAGCGCAAAUCAAGGGAUUAUUUGUCAAUUUGUAAUAAAUUAGGUAUUUUAUUUUAUUUUUCAUAAUUACUUAAUUAAACAAGGAAAUUAAGUAUUUUCGUUAUUUAUUUUUUAUUUCAUGUUAAGACUCUAGGUUAUUUUUUUUCUAUUUAAGCACAAUGUAAUUUAGGAUUUAGGAGACUUUUGGAAUAUUAUUAUUGAAUUUUACUCUUUGAGAGGCAAGGAUUCCUUUCGUUUUAUCCCUUUCUCGUGUGUCCGUUGAAUGUGCGGUUGUGUUGUUGAUGUGUGCACUUCCGCAUCUGUAUCAGAUGUGGUGUUGGAUCCAUCUAGUAAUGAUUAAGGUGAAGGGAGAAGAAUCUUACAUUUAAGAUACACACAACGACAUAGAAGUCGGAAAGACUUUUGACCGUAAGUAAUGAAAUGCAAGAACCCUACAAGAAGGGGAGUUUCUGAUAUCCACAUAAUUCCCAUUCCCGUGAUACCUUUUUAUCUGUAAAAAUGUCUUCUAACCCUAUCUCAAGGACCACAAUCUGCUCACCAUUUUCGAAUUCUCUCGAUGGACUUCAAAUCUUAGGACACAACCUUGGACCCUCUAAGUAGAUAAAUAAGUUCGCAAAACACGAAAUACGUCUAUAUCUCGUUAAUGUAUUGAUUGUUUUAGUAAAACAGUUACAAAAUAUGUUAAAUAAUUUAUAGUUGAUAAUUAAUUAUAUAUAACAGACUGGAAAAAGCUUACUAGUUUUGCAUUAUGUGUGGAACACCAUUUUUUUUUUUUUGGGAUAAACGAUAUUAUCUACACUAAGGGGGAGAGGGGUGAGCUUAGACUCACAAUGGGUUAGCAAUAAAGUGGCUCAAAGCCACAUUUGGCGAGAAUCGAAUCUAAAACCUCACACUUAUAAAUGAAGAGGAAUACUACUAGACUGUAAUAUUAAGUGACGUGUGGAACACCAUAUUUUAUAGUACUAAUAGAUGGGAUUUUAGUCGAAUGACGAAAUAUUUGGGAACUCGAAUAACAAUCAGUCGGUAGUUUUUCUGCAUAUCAUCUUUCUACUGUUACUGCAUUGUCAAAAACAAAAAGAGGCUUCUUGCUGUCAUCUGAUGAAAAUAUCACACUCACAUGCUUCGCAGCUAGAAAUCUGUCCUUUGCCCCAUCGUAUAGUUUCGAAAUACAAUACAUGUGAACCCUAAUGGGCAUAUUCCUAACAACCAAUUGCAGUGAGCUCAAGAUAUUUUCAUAUCCCUCUAUAUAUAUGUUCCCAAUUAUCAUGAAGCAUAUCUUAAAAACAGCUUUAGCAAGCACACAAUUUUUGUGCUACGUAACGAUGAUAUUCCCUAUCUUGUUCACGUUUUCUCUCCUCCUCUCCUCCUCCAAUGCCGCUGUGCAGGACUUCUGUGUUGCAGACCUCACAGCUCCUGACGGCCCUGCAGGCUACUCUUGCAAAAGCCCUGCAAAUGUUAAAGUAGAUGACUUUGUUUUCUCGGGCCUAGGCGUUGCUGGCAACACUACAAACAUCAUCAAAGCUGCAGUCACCCCUGCAUUUGCUGCUCAGUUCCCUGGUGUCAACGGCCUUGGCAUUUCACUUGCGCGUCUGGACCUGGCUGUUGGUGGAGUCAUCCCAUUUCACACACACCCUGGAGGUUCGGAAGUCCUAAUUGUCAUCGAAGGGACCAUCUGCGCCGGCUUUGUUUCCUCAGCGAACACAGUUUAUCUACAAACUCUUGAGAAGGGAGACAUUAUGGUUUU
rnacentral:lncRNA from 1 species